AUGAGGAUGAUGCUGAUGCCAUUUGGACGAAGCUCAACGGCCUCUUCACCGACAACAAGCUUCAGCGCAAGGUUUUCUUGCACGGCGAUUUUUUUUGGGUGUCAGCAGCAUGACUCGUCUAUUGACGACUUUUGCAUGCGCCUCAAGAAGCUCUCCGAUGAGCUCCGUGAUCUCGACGAGAAGGUUUCCAAUGAGCUUCUUCUUAGUACUCUCACUGCCUGCUUAAACGAGGAGUUCAGAAUGCCGCCUCCAACCUCACCCUCAUCCCCAACCCGACGUUCCCCAAGGUUGUGUCCUGCUCCAGGAGUUGCUUUGUGA
rnacentral:rRNA from 1 species